CUUGGCAGCGUCGGUGUUGGCCGCGGGAGAAGGGGAGACCGCGGCGGCCCCCAGUGAGAGCGGCUUUCCAGGACGGUGCGAUGUGCUGCGCAGCGAAGAGGCAGGAGGCCGGCUUCCUGGGGUAGCGGUACAGGCGGGCGCUUACUCUGUGCGCUUGCUUCCCCAACCCUGCACCGGCCAUGCGCCCGGCCUUGGCGGUGGGCCUGGUGUUCGCAGGCUGCUGCAGUAACGUGAUCUUCCUAGAGCUCCUGGCCCGGAAGCAUCCAGGAUGUGGGAACAUUGUGACAUUUGCACAAUUUUUAUUUAUUGCUGUGGAAGGCUUCCUCUUUGAAGCUGAUUUGGGAAGGAAGCCACCAGCUAUCCCAAUAAGGUACUAUGCCAUAAUGGUGACCAUGUUCUUCACCGUGAGCGUGGUGAACAACUAUGCCCUGAAUCUCAACAUUGCCAUGCCCCUGCAUAUGAUAUUUAGAUCCGGUUCUCUAAUUGCCAACAUGAUUCUAGGAAUUAUCAUUUUGAAGAAAAGAUACAGUAUAUUCAAAUAUACCUCCAUUGCCCUGGUGUCUGUGGGGAUAUUUAUUUGCACUUUUAUGUCAGCAAAGCAGGUGACUUCCCAGUCCAGCUUGAGUGAGAAUGAUGGAUUCCAGGCAUUUGUGUGGUGGUUACUAGGUAUUGGGGCAUUGACUUUUGCUCUUCUGAUGUCAGCAAGGAUGGGGAUAUUCCAAGAGACUCUCUACAAACGAUUUGGGAAACACUCCAAGGAGGCUUUGUUUUAUAAUCACGCCCUUCCACUUCCGGGUUUCGUCUUCUUGGCUUCUGAUAUUUAUGACCAUGCAGUUCUAUUCAAUAAGUCUGAGUUAUAUGAAAUUCCCGUCAUCGGAGUGACCCUGCCCAUCAUGUGGUUCUACCUCCUCAUGAACAUCAUCACUCAGUAUCCUUUGGACUGUGCCGUCACCCUUAUGUCAUCAUCAGGUUCUUUUGGCACAGGAAUGGUCAUUCUUUUCUUCUAACAGUGUGUUGACUUGAAUAUGAUUUUCGCUGGAUUUAUUCUGCGGUAAGCUGGAGACAGAGACCAAUUCAGGGAACUCCUUGUAGAGGGCAGAAGAGAUGCUAGUGGUGUAGUAGGUCAGUAAGGCACAGGGCAGCAGGAGGAAGUGCUCUGAGUGGAAGUGUAGGAGUCCAUUGAUUGAUAGUGGCGGGUGUGGUGGCUCACGCCUGUAAUCCCAGCACUUUAGGAGGCCGAGGCGGGCAGAUCACUUGAGGUCAGGAGUUUGAGACCAGCCUGGCCAACAUGGUGAAACCCCCUCUCUACAAAAAUACAAAAGUAAGCCAGGCAUGAUGAUGGGUGCCUAUAAUCCCAGCUACUCCAUAGGCUGAGGCAGGAGAAUCGCUUGAACCCAAGAGGUGGAGGUUGCAGUGAGCUGAGAUCAUGCCAUUGCACUCCAGCCUGGACAACAGAGUGAGACUCCAUCUCAAAAAACAAACAAAGAACUACUGUAUAGCAUAAAUCAUCUGUGAUUUGUACCUGUGAUUUUUUGGUGUCCUAAGAUAUUUCCAGUGAUCACAAGCUGCUGCAAAGUCCUGAAAGAAAUUUCAAAUUACCAGCUACUUAGGAGGCUGAGGUGGGAGGAUCGCUCAAGCCCAGGAGAUCGAGGCUGCAGUGAGCUUGAUCACUCCACUGCACUCUAGCUUGAGUAACAGAACAAGACCCUGUCUCAAAAAAAAAAAGAAAUUUCAAAGUAAUCAAGUUUUCGUUUUUUAAAAUGGUUAUUUCGAAUGACCUUACUUUCAUUAUAAAAAUAAUUAUGUCUUUGAAAUAGUGAAACGAAUCGAGAUUGACCUCAUUCCUCUGAAGUCAGCUCCUAGAUUUGCCAGAGUCCCUUUCUGGAGGAGGGGAUAGAAGGGCUGGAGGCAAGAUAAAUAAAGGUGAAUGGGAUCACCCUUACCGAGAGCGUCACCCUCUGUCAUUAUCUUGGAGGUGCCUGUCAUUGUAACCAUAGGAAGACUCCAACAUAAGAAUAAUUGGGGGUUUUUUGGCGGUUUCAAAUUGGUACCCAUAAAUGGAAUGGCAGGACAGGAGUUGUUCUGCAGGUUCUCCCCAGGAGGAGCCUCAGAGCUGCCGUAGCGGACCUUCAUGUUUUCUUAGAAUAUGAGAAGUUAAACCAGGGACCAUGCCAGAAGGUUCUCUCACUGAUCCCCCAAGUACAGUCUACAGAAAACUACCUUGACUCCACUCCUCCAGAACCCCUUCACCCUGUGGCACUGGCUGGGCACCUUGUUUGUCUUCAUUGGGACCUUAAUGUACACAGAGGUGUGGAACAACCUAGGGACCACAAAAAGUGAGCCUCAGAAGGACAGCAAGAAGAACUGAGGCCUGUCUGGAGUACGUAGACCAGUGUCGUCGUGAGGGUGGGACCCUGUGAAGGUCUGACCACCGUUUCGCUUUUGUUAAUGCCGAGCUACCCGCAGUGCUGAGCCAGCCGUGCAAAAGGAAAUCUUCAGGAGGGGACUUCUCACGUUGCUCAGACUGACACAUGUAGACUAAAUAGAAACCCCUCAGCCCUAAAAUAGAAAAAAGAACAGUUCUGGACUAUUGAACAGCCCAUUCAUUUAUUUCUGUUUUGUUUACCGACAUAUUCAGUAUUAUUCUUGUUUUCUGAAUUCUGAGUCUCCUGAACAAAAGGCUUACUAUCCAUGGUCUUGGAAAAGAUUGUCCCUUCUCUUGCUGUUGUAAUGCAUCUCUGCUACAGCAGUCAUUGUCAUCCUGUGACCUUAUCCCUUUUGUCUCCCAUCACCUUUUCCUUCUUCAGCAGCACCUCACAGUCAGUCAGACGCUGCAGGCACCACUAUCACCAGGAGUGGCCAAGUAAACCGAGACACCAGUAACAGCAGGGCUGGACUUCCUCCAGCGUUUUGGGAAGGAAAGAGAUGUUCCCCUGAGCUGAUUCCCAGUGACAGUGCAGCAAGACUAGUGGGACUCCUCUUUCCCACAUUUUGCUUUUUUUUUUUUCUAUGCAAAAGUCAGAUGCUUCUAUCCAUUGCUUUCUGUGAUUAGGGCGGCCCUGCAGCAUAUCUCACAGCAGACACAGUGUUCAUAACAAAGAAAGGUUGUGCCGGGCACGGUGGCUCACACCUGUAAUCCCAGCCCUUUGGGAGGCUGAGGUGGGUGUAUCACUUGAGGUCAGGAGUUCAAGACCAAUCUGGCCAACAUGGUGAAACCCCAUCUCUACUAAAAAUACGAAAAUUAGCUGGGUGUGAUGGCGCAUGCCUGUAAUCCCAGCUACUUGGGAGGCUGAGGCAGGAGAAUCACUUGAACCCGGGAGAUGAAGGUUGCAGUGAGCUGAGGUCGUGCUACUGCACUCCCGCCUGGGUGACAGAGUGAGACUCUAUCUCAAAAAAAAAAAAAAAAAAGAAAGGUUGUUAUGGACUGGACACCCCUGAAGCCCAUUGCCUAGGCCACAGUGGUGACGGCAGGAUGGCCCUGCUCAGCACCGCAAGAGCCAUGGCUGUCCCUGUUGGCCCAGCCGGGCACUCACAGGGCAGAAGGGUGGGUCUCAAGUGGGAGGAUAAGGCUUCACCACCAGGAGAUUCCCCUCUGCCCGAUGACUCUGUUAAGAGUCACGACCCAUCAAGGGAAUGCAUAGAUGGAGAUAUAUAGUGUGUGAUGUGUAAAUCAGGUCAAACCUCAACGACAAUUGAAAGUUGUUAUUGUCCUAUGAGGUAUCUUAGCAUUCUCGAUGGGUAUUGAGGAUGGUUGGAUGUGCUUUAUUGUGUGUGGAAACAUGCCUCUCUUUGCUAAUCAUUUCAGAGGUCCAGUUUUCCUUUCACUGGACAAUCUUGAAUAGGAGGAACGCUGUUGCUGUAAUAUGCGUAGCUUCUGUGUGCUCUUGUGUAGUCUGUGUGUGAUCAAAGGGCACGGAAGUGGCUGCACUUUCACAUCCCUUUUCUUUACUUAGCUGGAACCUUACAUACCAGUACAUGCUCCUCUGUAAGCAGCUGAACUCACCGGCCACUUCUCUGUUUGCCUAUAGACAAAGACUGUGUGUGUGUGUGUGUAUGUAUGUGUGUGUGUGUGGUGCACACAUUGUGUUCUUAAACUGAGACGUGGCUCUGCAGGUCUCCUGGGCUCAUUCCAUGGUGUGGUAUGUUUAUUCCACUGUCCAGAGCUAUUCUCUGAUGGAUUUGAGCAACAGCAGUGGAGAUAAAUGUCCUAGAGUCACCAGGUCGCUUGGAGAAGUCAUUUAAGCUGCCUCGGGUUUUUGUUACUUAAAAUGUGGAUAUUAUUUCUCCACCUAAAUCACUGAGUUUACAGAGUAAUAAUGUGUUGCUCUGGACAUUGACAGCUUUCUAGAGCCAGUAAUGGGCUCUUCUGAAGGAUGCUGAAUUAGAAGUGAACCUAUUCAUAGGAUCAAAAGCCACUUGCUUUGAAAUAUGUAGAGUUCCUCAGAAUUGACGGUGCUAGAAAUAUCCAAGUGUUAAAUAACCUUUUAAAAGCAACAAAAGCUACUUUUUUCUUACCACUUAAUAGAAGAACCUGUCCCUAGAGGCGACUUCAUUGCUAUGGAUCUGGAGUCUCUGAACUCUUAAUAGGAUGCAGCCUCACAUACAUAAUGUCACCCAUUUUAUGUUGAUGAAAACAUUACAAGUUUUCUUCAUUGGGUAUGUGUUGAUGUUCACAGACAGUACUUGGGCCCAUUAGGUUUUCGCGUCUGGUCUUAGAGCAUGUGUAUUCAUCUCAGCGUGAAUACCUCAGCCAGUCUUAUGAAUAGGAGGCUAUGUAUGGGCAGGGAAUAGAUUAGAUUAGAACACUCGCACAAGAUGACCACAUAUAGAAGCAGAAAGCCCCAAAUUCCCUGGGAACUGUUUUUUCUCUAGUAGCUGAAUAUAAGGAAAUAUGUCUAAUGGACACCAGUUAAUACUUUUUAAAACUACUCUUUAAAAAAAAAAUACGUUCCCCUUGGUUAACUGAUUUUUUAAUCCAGGGUGGACAUUUUUUCAACCUUUAUUAAAAAGACAAAUAAACUAUUUUGUAGAAGAUCAGACUCCUACUUAACUGGAAGAGAAAUGUCUAUUAAAUGUCUCUCCUCUUUCUCUGGGUCAAGACCAUGUAAUUUUAUGCUUCAGAGAUGAAGAUACUGUUUGUUUACAAAGAGUUUAGUUUUUAAGACAUCCAAAACUCUAUGCUAGAGCAAAAAUCAAAUAGCAAAGGACACUAGCCAGAAAAUACAGUGUGUGUGUGUGCACCUGUGUGCCUGCUGAACAACUUGACAGUGUAACAGAUAAGGUAACUGAAGAUGGUGGAUAUUUGAAUUGUAUUAGCUUAAUGUCUACAUAUCUUUGGCCAAAACUCUAUUGUCAUAUUAGAAACAUGUUAUCUUUUUCAUGUUUAUUAGUAAUUUAUUUUUGAUUCUUUGUUUUCUUUUUCGUCCAACUAAAACAACUGUAAUGUACUUGAUACAUUUAUAUCAAGUUCUAAAGUAUUUAGACAAAUCCAAAUACUUUGUUUUUAGUUUUUUCCUCCUUUCCAUCCUGUUAACCACAGUGAAACGCUGCAGUAUUUUGAUUUGGUCAGUGCUACGGAGGAAGACCAUGAAAGCUGAAUUGGUCUGUGCCACCCAGAGUAAACCUCUUCUCUUCUUCUGGAAAGAUGGCGUGAUGUUUUUCAAGGAUUCUAAUAAAUAUCCCGCAGUCAUCUCCUGAGCAGCUUUCCUCUGUUUCACUUCAGAACUCCUUCCCCCACUUUCUUCACUCCAGUUUCUUCACUUGCAGCGUUUUCUGCUAAGAAAGACUUAUCAUCUUGUAUCUGUUUAUGCCUCUCUUCUUUGGGGCCCCUGGAUGUUUUUGUGGAUUUUUACAGAGUAUUUAUAUCUGCACAGCGUGUAUUUUGUUAUACAUUCUUACAAGCAUUGAUAUUGGGGGGUACAUUCAUAAUAGUGAGAAUAUCUGGCAGAAUGUGUGAAUGCCAUAUCUGUAGAUGACGAUGAAUGUGAAGGGUUAAUGUAGAAAUGUUUGUUUAUUCUGUUACAGCUCAAAAUGGAGGCUGAGAAUCUCUACCACCAUUCCCUUCUCUAUUUGAGAAUCUCUACCACCAUUCCCUUCUCUAUUUGGGAAACAAUACUCUCUUAUUUUGCUAUUUUUACCUUCCCAUUAACUGGCUUCACUCAACAGUGCCAGAUACCUAUGGAGAGGGGAAGUAAAACACCUUAGGUCAGGAAUAAUAAACCAAUGAGUUAGCUCAGGGCCGGUGGACAUGUUCACUGGUGGACCAGUUGGCAUUGACCUAAACGGACAGAGAAAUGCACAUGGAGGAGAACUACGUUGAAAUCAAGAUCCUAUGUCUGUUGUAUUUUCUCUUUGCCUGGAGUAAAUAGCAUUAUAAGUCAUUCCACCCUUAUUAGAUAACCAAAGCAUAUUGGUCUCAAUAGCUUUCUCCUGAAAAAUGUGAUUGAAUCUUACCUGUAGCAGUUCACUCUUAAGGUUGAAAGAACUGUCAAUAUAGAUAAAAUCCAUUCCUUAUUAUUAUUGAUUGGUGUGACAUUUGAAAAUGUGUCUAAACAAUAUUUGUAAGUAAAAGAACCAGUCAUAAGCCUCAAAUGUGUUCAGUGUGUACCAAGCUGGAAUGGGAGACUGGCCCCUCUUGGCUUUAAAGUAGCAUGUUGUCUUUUUCUAGCAGCUUCUUCCUAGUAGACAUUCCAGGGAUGGGAGGGGCCAGGGAUCAUGUCUUACUCAUUUCUGUAUCGCCAGCCCCUGGCAUAGUGUCUGGCUUAUGUUAUGUGAAUAAAUGAAUGCUUGCCAAGAUCUCUUCUUCCCUCAAGUUUCUGGAAAACCUGAGGGUUCGUGAUACCUGUUCCCACUCCUCAUCAGCGGGUUGGCAAGAAAGCAAAUAAGGGGAAACAUUUUUAACAUUCCAAGCAAGAGAAGGAAGAACGACUAUUGGGAGGAGGUACACCAGAGAUUGCUCAGUGUGCAGCCUGCUACCUCACUUUUGGCUCUGGAUUGCCUGGUGGUAGAAGGGAAGAGUAUUAUGUAGUUAGCACCUUACAUAUUUGAUGCUCAGGAAGAAAGUGCAAGAAGAUCCCUAAUAGAACAUUAAAGAUUCUUAAAAGUUUUUGAAGUAGGCUGCUUGGGGUGACCAGCCCCACCCUUACAUCUCCAUAGUUGGUACAGUUAGCUUGUAGCAGCUGAAGCUGAUGCCUGGAGAUCACUGUCUGUUGGUCUGAUCUCAGUAUCAUACUGAGACACCUCCCCUGAGCCUUACCUACUUAAAUUGGUAACCGUCCUACCAAAAUUUGUCAAUUUUAAUCAAGUGAGGCAAGUUGCAAGGGAGCCAGAGAUACGUGAAAAAAGAAAAGCAGAAAUACUGAUACUUUCUAAGAAAGAAGUUGUAAUAAUUUCUUUGGCACAUUGACUUACUGAUAUCUUUUGAAAUGCAUAGAUGACUCUUGUGAACCAAAGAGAGCAGUAGUGGUUAUUCCCCGGCGCAAUAAAAAUGCCUUUGUGUAUCACUUGCGAUUGCCAGUCAUUUCUGUGCCAGUUGCUUUCAUUCCAGAGAAUGGCCUCAUUCUCCAAAAAAAGAUGAUGAUUUUAGAAGUAGGAUUUCCUAACAAAUUAUGUGGUGGGGAGGGACGGCGGGGAUUUUAUUCAUCCCGUCUGAGCUCUUCAUACAGUAUUACCAUUAGGUUUUAAGAACAAAGAUGGGGGAGGAGGGAGUAGAAAGCUGAGAGUACGUAGAACAGCUACAAGACAUUAGUGGGUAUUCAGAUUUUGAGCUGUGUAAAUAUCAAACAUCGGCUUCCAGCCUUAAGAGUUAUUUGAGCAGAGAGUUAAGGAGGAAUGGGAGAUUUUGUGAAUAAAAUGUUUUGCCAAACUGAA